UACGUAGGGGGCGAGCGUUGUCCGGAUUUAUUGGGCGUAAAGAGCUCGUAGGCGGUUUGGUAAGUCGGGUGUGAAAACCCCAGGCUCAACCUGGGGACGCCACCUGAUACUGCUAUGACUUGAGUCUGGUAGGGGAUCACGGAAUUCCUGGUGUAGCGGUGAAAUGCGCAGAUAUCAGGAGGAACACCGGUGGCGAAGGCGGGUCUCUGGGCCGAUUCUGACGCUGAGGAGCGAAAGCGUGGGGAGCGAACAGG
rnacentral:rRNA from 1 species